ACGCUGGCGGCAGGCCUAACACAUGCAAGUCGAGCGGUAACACAGAGAGCUUGCUCUCGGGUGACGAGCGGCGGACGGGUGAGUAAUGUCUGGGAAACUGCCUGAUGGAGGGGGAUAACUACUGGAAACGGUAGCUAAUACCGCAUAACGUCGCAAGACCAAAGUGGGGGACCUUCGGGCCUCAUGCCAUCAGAUGUGCCCAGAUGGGAUUAGCUAGUAGGUGGGGUAAUGGCUCACCUAGGCGACGAUCCCUAGCUGGUCUGAGAGGAUGACCAGCCACACUGGAACUGAGACACGGUCCAGACUCCUACGGGAGGCAGCAGUGGGGAAUAUUGCACAAUGGGCGCAAGCCUGAUGCAGCCAUGCCGCGUGUAUGAAGAAGGCCUUCGGGUUGUAAAGUACUUUCAGCGAGGAGGAAGGCAUUAAGGUUAAUAACCUUGGUGAUUGACGUUACUCGCAGAAGAAGCACCGGCUAACUCCGUGCCAGCCGCCGCGGUAAUU
rnacentral:rRNA from 1 species